GUGGGGAAUAUUGGACAAUGGGGGGAACCCUGAUCCAGCCAUGCCGCGUGUGUGAAGAAGGCCUUUUGGUUGUAAAGCACUUUAAGCGAGGAGGAGGCUACCGAGAUUAAUACUCUUGGAUAGUGGACGUUACUCGCAGAAUAAGCACCGGCUAACUCUGUGCCAGCAGCCGCGGUAAUACAGAGGGUGCAAGCGUUAAUCGGAUGUACUGGGCGUAAAGCGCGCGUAGGUGGCCAAUUAAGUCAAAUGUGAAAUCCCCGAGCUUAACUUGGGAAUUGCAUUCGAUACUGGUUGGCUAGAGUAUGGGAGAGGAUGGUAGAGUUCCAGGUGUAGCGGUGAAAUGCGUAGAGAUCUGGAGGAAUACCGAUGGCGAAGGCAGCCAUCUGGCCUAAUACUGACACUGAGGUGCGAAAGCAUGGGGAGCAAACAGGAUUAGAUACCCUGGUAGUCC
rnacentral:rRNA from 1 species